rnacentral:lncRNA from 1 species
GCUGAGCACAACGCAGCUCCGCCCUCGCAAAGGCACAGCGCGGGCGCAGGCGCCCAGAGGCGCACAGGAGACCUCAGGCCCAGACUCCACUCCCCAGCUGUGAAAGGACUGCUGGCCAGACCCCCAAGCUAGCCCGCCAGGCCUCCAUAGAGCUGCCCAGCAUGGCUGCAUCCAGUACCAAGAGUUGGUGGGAGACGGGUGAGGUAUAGGCUCAGUCUGCGGCCAAGACUCCGUCCUGCAAGGAUAUUGUGGCUGGAGACAUGAGCAAGAAAAGCCUCUGGGAGCAGAAGGGAGGCUCCAAGACCUCAUCAACAAUUAAGGAAGGAGUGAUUGGCUGCUGGUCCUGCCCUGUCCGAGGAGGAGGACGGAACCCACCCACCAAGCUGUGGAGAGGUGGACCCCACAAAUCCCCUCGCAAGCCACGUCUGAGAGCGAGCAGAGGGAAGAAACUCAAGCGUUUGUAGUCCUCUUUCUUAACAACCAGGCUUAAAGCGCCAUCUUGUGUCUUGAAGGCAGAAGGAGAUCAGGAUGUGUGUGCUAGAAGCAGGCAGAGGAUCUUCACCAAUGUCUCAAAAACUAGAGAAGGAAACAUGGCGAUCCUCAAGGCCCGCGGCGGCCCCAGCCCUUCCCGCACCCUGCGAUAGUCUGGUGUUGGGAGGGUGGCCCACGUGUCCAAGCAACCACAUCAGGGAGGUUCUGGGAGAGGAGAAGGCAAAGCUCAUGCCCUCAUGAGGCAGGCAGUCCCAUCCAGGACUGGACUGGAUGAGCACCAAUAAAUAAGAAAACACAGCUGGCAGCUGACUGUGAAGGGUCUGGACAGGGUGCCGAAGUGAAGCGUAAUGAGCUGGAUAGUGAGGACCUCACUACAGAGGGACAUCUAUCUACACACAGCCUGAAGGGUGAGAAAGAUGGAUCCUUGCCCUGAGCCAGAAGUGCACACCCCAGAGAGAGCAGCUCCUGCGGAGGUCCUGUGGGGCAGGCAUGGUAGGAAUAUUAAAGAGAAGAAGCCAGGUGUGGCUGCAGCCAUGCAGGAGGAAGGGCGAUGGGGUUGGGGAGGCAGAGGAUGGGACUGGCAUGAGAAGAUGGAGAUGCAGAGCCCAGAUCGUGAUAGCCCCAAUAGUCCACGGGUAGGAGUUUGUAUUUUCUACUAAAAGCAAUGGGAGGGCGGGGCGCGGUAGCUCAAGCCUAUAAUUCCAGCACUUUGGG